rnacentral:rRNA from 1 species
CGAAGAGGCCACACCCGUUCCCAUUCCGAACACGGAAGUUAAGCUCUUCAGCGCCGAUGGUAGUUGGGGCUCACGCCCCUGUGAGAGUAGGAC